rnacentral:lncRNA from 1 species
UUCUUCUUCCUCACCCACCCAAUGCCAUUUUCAUUUCACCUCCAUGAAAAUCAAAUUUUUUUUUCAUUUGAUUUUCCUUGUUUUCUUUUCAUUUCCUUUCUUCUCUUACUUCUUUCUUCUCCUAACUUCCUGGGCACCAAACCUAUAGCUUCUAACCCCAUUUUUCAGCACAACCAAACCCUAGGAGAGAGAAGGAAAAAAAUCUCUUUUUCUUUCCUUAAUCUUCUGUUUCUACGCCACCAUCACCGACACUUGAAUUUUCAACUUUAAAUCUCCAUUUUUAAGGCUAAAAGGUAUAUAUUUUCAACUCUUGGAAUUUAUGAAUUUAUGGGUUAUAUUUUUUAUUUUAUUUCCUAAUUUCUUCAAAUUCUUUUUCAUGGAAAUAUUAGGUUUUUGUUGAUCUUUAUGCCUCCAAGCUCACCAAGGUAAAGAGCCUUUAAAUGGGAAUAGUUGAUAUGAUGGGUUUGAGAAUUAGACUAGAAUUCUAGGUUAGAAAAGAAUGUGGUUUGUCAAGAGUAUGCUUAUUAGAAUUAUUAAGUUUAAAUUUAUGAUAUAUUUGAAGCUAUUAUUAUUUAUUGUCAAUUAUAGGUUUUAAUGGUAUUUGGGGACUACCUAGAUUAAGAUCUUGUGGGUGCUAGUCUUGUUAGGUGGCAUUAUUAAGGUGAGUGAUCUUGCAUUUAAUUAUUUUGGGGAAAUACAUAUGUGUUGGGAUAAAACACUUAAAUGAUUUUAUUUUAUUUUAUUUCUAAAUCAUGCUUGGGAACAAGCCCUUGAUGAAACGUUAUAUGUUGUAAAAUGUGUAAUGUGAUGAACCCAUGUGUUCCUAUAUUCUUAUGAUAUAUUGUUAUGCUUUGAAUGAUAAUAUUGUGUGAUAAUUAUAACCGCGCGUGUGUGGUGUGGGAGUGCACAUGAGCUGAUGACCGGUGGAUGGUGAUUCCAACUAUGUGCGGUGUGGGAGUGCACAUGAGCUGAUAAGCCAGUGGUUGUAUACAUGUUUACACAUACCAUGAAAAUGUUGGAGAAAAUAUUAUGUGAUUGCAAUGAAUGUUGAAUGUUGAAAUUGUUAAUUGUUUCCAAAUUGAUUUUCAAUGCAACAAAAAAAAAACUCAUUUCCUUGCUUGUCUUGCUCAAAUAUUUAUUAUGGUUUUCGCUUUUCAAUUUCAUUAUGGAUUAUGGAUCCAUCAACACUAAGGGGUUAAAUAAUCAAAGGUCGAAUUGAGGGGUUUUACGAGGAAUUAAACUAAAUUGCAUUGUUUUUAAUAUAAGUGCAUCAUGAUUUCUAAACUUUCCUUAUUGUUUGCUUGUUCCCUUCCUGUGUUCACUCACUGGGUUUAUACUCAUUCUUUUCAACGCCAUGUUUUAGUUUUCAGGCUCGAAGGUAGUUGGAUCCUAAGUAGAGGUGCUUCCUCCUGUUCAUUUUACAGUAGGGUUACUAGCACACCCCAUGAUAGUAUCCACGCCAAAGUCACUCUGCUGAUAGUCAAGGUCUUUUGUAUGUGUAUAUGGUUAUUUAAAUGUAAUUCGUGAGAUUUGUUGUAAACACUGGAUGUUUGGUUUGCAUGAUAAUGUCGCCAUAGGUUGGCAA